CAUGAUGAGAUCACUCAAAAAAAUUAAGUCUUUAUUUUAAUAAGAUUUUUGAAAUUUAAAAUUAAAGUAAUUAGGAAUUUUUUUUAUCUUUUGCCUUUCUAAAUUUUUUUGUCUUUCCAGAUUAUAUAUCCAAAUUUUAUAUGAAGUAUAAAAACUCAUCUUUAUAGUUAAGUAAAGGAAAAGACCUUUGGAUCUAAUACAAUAAAAUAAUGCGUGCAUUACAAUAUUGAUUAAUAGGAUUUUUUGAUUCGUUCUUCUCUUCCUUUUAUCGAGUGCUAUAUAAUUACAUCUUUGUCGAUGACUGGCUAUGUUGUGAAAGAAUCUGGUGUUCUAUCACCUGAAUCUGGCCUUCCUGUAACCUUCUUUCAUCCACAAUCCUUUGAUUUCUACCUCCAUUCAAUCUCUUCCAUCAAGAAAAAGUUUGCCACCUCUAGUCGAAAGGUAGCCUUCUUUCUUUCUCUUCUUGUGUUAACCUGUCCAUCCUUCUACUUGAUCUAGCCUUUCCAAGUCUCCAAGCAAGAAAUCCCUUCUGGUUAAAGUCCCCUCAAGCUAAGCUUUACUCCAUUGUUUAAUCUUUGACUUCAAAUAGCUCAACCUUUUGCAACUCUAUAACUUGAAUGUCUCUACAACUGUCUCAUCCCACCACUCCUUUACUUUGUCUUGGAAGUCUGACCACUUGAACCAUUUAUUUCCAAAUCUAAAGGGGCACAACCACCAAGCAAUACUAUUUUGCUCCAACAAUUUAGAAAAGUGACUUGACGUGACUCGAUGUAGUAGCUUACGGACCAUGUUUGGUUAAGUGUGCUGCAAAGAGUUUGAUACUAAGAAUUGGCGAAUUCUAGAGAAACCUGGACACUCCUGAGAGUUUAACCAAGUCUAUUUGCCACCAAUUACCGGCAAAUCCAUUAGAUCACAUCUAUCCAUAAUUGUUUUAAACUCCUUCAUACAAGCUCUCAAGAAAUUUUCUCUCGAUCUUUCAUGAGAAUUGAGAAUCAUAUUGAAGUCACCUCCUAUCACCCAUGAGAUAUCCCAUCUACUUCUGCCAUUCUUCAAGAUCCCUUCACAGAAGUCCCAGCACCCUUUCCUCCCUUUUUACAUAAAUUCUCGUAACACCCAUCUGAUCUAACUUCGAAUACACGUGAAAUUGUCAUUUGCCUCUGAAUUCGUUUUCUUUCUUUAUCAUUCCACAUGACAACAGUGCCACCUGCCACCCUAUUAGCUGAUAAUCCCCUCCAACCCACCUCUCUAAAUUUCUGUACUUUGUACCAGAUUAAUUAAGCCUCUAUAUUUGUCUUGUGAAGACAAACUACAUAUUGUUUCCACCUUGACAAGCACCCUCUAAUUGCUACUCGCUUCUCACCUUCAUUUAAUCCCCUAGUUCAUGAAAUUAUUCUACUAAUCAUCGUAAUUUUGAUGAUUGCUCCACCCUUAUCCCCAUUCCGUUCCUCGUUGAUUUUUUCAUAAUAUAUCGAGGAAUGUAGUCUCCUUAGCUCCCCCUGUCCAGCACUGGUCUCUUCCCCAUUAGUGUCGCUAGAGCUGUAUUACUUGCCUUCUCCCUUCUUUUACCUUCUAGAGUCCUAAAUAAUUUUAGAGCUUGGUCCUUCAACCCCGCAAAACUCAUUGCCAAAGUUUACUAAUUCUUCAGAUAUUAUUGAAGACCCAUUUUGAAACUUCACCUCCCUCCUCUUCAUCUUUCUCCACCCCCAUUGUAGCAACUCUCCUUCUCAUUGACCCCUCCUUUUCCUUUCUUCCUCUUUUCUUUCUUCUCCAUAUUUUACUAUAGAUAGAGGUUUUAUCAUUUCUGGACAACCCUCAUAGAUUGACAGACAAUCUUCCCUCCUUUUAUCCCAGAACUUCCUGGCAGCACAGUAAUAGAAACCACUCCAUACUCCCUAUUCAGCCCACCUUGCUGCUUGCCCCCAAUUUUUUUUUUUUAUAAAUAAAAUAAGUAUAUUAUUAUAAACAAGGUACUAAAGAGGUAUUGCCUGUAUACAAAAUAAUUACAUAUCUAUCAAGUAGUCAAUAAUCAUCCCAAUCUCUUCUAAGUCUCUCAUGUCAUGACUAAGCAAAAUAGAGCUAAUCCAUUUAUAUAUAAUGUUUACAACAUCUUCCAGAGUUAAGGGGCCAAAAACAGGUCACCUACUUCCCCUUUCCCCUGCACAUGCCUUACUAGAAGAUAUGGCUAGAAGCCCAGCCUCAUGGUCCUCUUCGUGCGACUUCACUCUGUCCUUCUCCAUGAUAGCCACUCCUCUUUCCACCUCGAGAUUGCUGACAGAGACUGUCAGAAAUUCAACCAACCUCCUACAUGGCCAUGAGGGCCCUCUCCUUUUCUAUGAUUUCCUCUUCUCCUUCCACCUGCCGAACCCGAAAAAUCAGCUUCCUCUUGCCCUGGAUGUUGCUUCUCUAUUAAACAAUGGGCUUGGGUAACUUCCUUCUUGGGCCGGCUUUAUUCUGUAUAACAGCCUUGUUUAAGCCUGUUUGGUGAAUAGGUCUAGACUGGGUAAAUU
rnacentral:lncRNA from 1 species